UACGAAGGGGGCUAGCGUUGUUCGGAAUUACUGGGCGUAAAGCGCACGUAGGCGGACUCUUAAGGCAGGGGUGAAAUCCCGGGGCUCAACCUCGGAACUGGCUUUGAUACUGUGAGUCUCGAGACCGGAAGAGGGGAGUGGAAUUCCUAGUGUAGAGGUGAAAUUCGUAGAGAUUAGGAAGAACACCAGUGGCGAAGGCGGCUCACUGGCCCGGUUCUGACGCUGAGGCGCGAAAGCGUGGGGAGCAAACAGG
rnacentral:rRNA from 1 species